AGGGUGAUGGGGUGGCCGAUGGACAGGGUGAUGGGGUUGUAGAUAGACAGGGUGAUGGGGUGGCGGAUAGACAGUGUGAUGAGGUCACAGAUAGACAGGGUGAUGGGGUGACAGACAGACAGGGUGAUGGGGUGACAGAUAGACAGGGUGAUGGGCUGACAGAUAGACAGGGUGAUCGGGUGACAGAUAAACAGGGUCAUGAGUUCACAGAUAGACAGGGUGAUGAGGUGACAGAUAGACAGGGUGAUGGGGUGGC